UGUUACUUAGUCGACCUUAGUAUCCACCAUCAGUUUGCUUGCCCAAAAACUCCCGAACAGUAUGGUACUGCCAGUCGGGGUGCCAAAAAAAAUACGGAAAAAUCGCCGCCUCUCAAAAAAUACCUUGGUAUCCACCAUCAGUUCUCUUGUCUUCACUCUUCCGCCUCUCUCUCUUUCUCUCUCUCUCCCCCCUUCAUCCCCAUUUCUCUUGUUCGUUGACCGAGAGACUGCUUCGAAGAAGCGGAAAUCGCCGAUUCCAAGUCCAAGAUCCGUUUAAUUCCAAGCCCCGAUUUCACCAAUCCAAGUAUUAGUGUAUUACUUUGAGGGGAACUAUGGCAAGCUGGCCUUUAUUAUCUGGUUAAAUUUAUCAACCUGGUGAAGCAAGCUGGCCUUUAGGCUUUAUGUUCAUCUCAGGAUCGGUCCUUAUGUUUGUGCUGAGUGGAACUUUGGGUAGUACUAUAGUUCAUCUGAUUUCUAAGUACAUAAAUGUAUCUCAAUUUACUGUAAAUUUGAUUUUUAAUUUGAUAUUAUGAAG